UAGGGAAUCUUCAGCAAUGGGCGAAAGCCUGACGGAGCAACGCCGCGUGAGUGAUGAAGGUCUUCGGAUCGUAAAACUCUGUUAUUAGGGAAGAACAAAUGUGUAAGUAACUAUGCACGUCUUGACGGUACCUAAUCAGAAAGCCACGGCUAACUACGUGCCAGCAGCCGCGGUAAUACGUAGGUGGCAAGCGUUAUCCGGAAUUAUUGGGCGUAAAGCGCGCGUAGGCGGUUUUUUAAGUCUGAUGUGAAAGCCCACGGCUCAACCGUGGAGGGUCAUUGGAAACUGGAAAACUUGAGUGCAGAAGAGGAAAGUGGAAUUCCAUGUGUAGCGGUGAAAUGCGCAGAGAUAUGGAGGAACACCAGUGGCGAAGGCGACUUUCUGGUCUGUAACUGACGCUGAUGGGCGAAAGCGUGGGGAUCAAACAGG
rnacentral:rRNA from 1 species